rnacentral:pre_miRNA from 1 species
AUCAUAACUUGCUCGCUGAUGUAAUUUUAACAGACGUCGGUCAGUUGGUUAUGAAUUC